rnacentral:rRNA from 1 species
UACGAAGGGGGCUAGCGUUGUUCGGCCUCACAGGGCGUAAAGCGCACGUAGGCGGAUUGUUAAGUCAGGGGUGAAAUCCCGAGGCUCAACCUCGGAACUGCCUUUGAUACUGGCGAUCUAGAGUCCGGGAGAGGUGAGUGGAACUGCGAGUGUAGAGGUGAAAUUCGUAGAUAUUCGCAAGAACACCAGUGGCGAAGGCGGCUCACUGGCCCGGAACUGACGCUGAGGUGCGAAAGCGUGGGGAGCAAACAGG